rnacentral:rRNA from 1 species
ACCUACGGGGGGCAGCAGUGAGGAAUAUUGGUCAAUGGUCGGGAGACUGAACCAGCCAAGCCGCGUGAGGGAUGAAGGUACAGAGUAUCGUAAACCUCUUUUGUCAGGGAACAAAGGCGGGGACGUGUCCCCGGAUGAGUGUACCUGAAGAAAAAGCAUCGGCUAACUCCGUGCCAGCAGCCGCGGUAAUACGGAGGAUGCGAGCGUUAUCCGGAUUUAUUGGAUUUAAAGGGUGCGCAGGCGGUCUGUUAAGUCAGCGGUCAAAGCCCGGGGCUCAACCCCGGCCCGCCGUUGAAACUGGCAGU